rnacentral:tRNA from 1 species
GUUCUUGUAGUUGAGUUAUCAACGAUGGUUUUUCAGACCAUAGGCCUUGGGUCGAUCCAAGUAAGAACC